GGCCUUGCACAUUUUUAACAAAUGGCCGUAGGGUACUGAAUAUAAAAGGUCUCCGGAAAACCAUGACUCCAGGUAUGGUAGUUCCGCUCCAAGCCGAUAGGGAACAGUAGCUUCCCGUUCGCUCGAAUUCUGAUCACUGAAGAUAAGGAAAUAUAGUGUAGUCUAAAACCUGAUAAAAAAAAAAUGAACUGGAAGGCAGCACGCUCACUGCAACAGGAGGAAACGAGAUCAACAACAUUGUUUAUUACACGUUUUACAAAGGAAAACUCACCGUGAUAUGUAACAGAAGGUCUACUGUCGGAAGUCCAACGUGGUACUGAUGCAUUAUUAAGCGAUCGCCAUGCCAUCCCGGGCACCAGCAAAGGCCAACAAAUCUCUACUAUGGAUAUUAUGACAAGAUAUACCAGCUGAGAUGGUACAUUUAAAAAGAAUUAUGGACAUCGAAACAGAAGGAAACCUACAGGAAAACCAUACAGCUGGAGAUUUCAGCUAUAGACUCACUAAGGAAAGUCUAUUCAUAUCACAACAUUGAUUUUGCAGCUGGAAUACUGCAUACAUCUUGGGCUACCACAUCCAUAGAGAACUGUCAAGAAGUGGCAGUUUCAGGUGAUUACAGGUUCCAGGAUGUAGCAGAGCCAGCAUGUUCAACACCUUAAGACAGUAAUUCCUGUGCGAGGCUGAAUCUUGUAUGAAUCGAAGUAGCAAGGCAUGUGCAGCUUGAUCAUCCAGUUAAGAUUUAAGCCAUUGAAGAUGCAGCUUUUGCAGUUGAUGAGACCCUUACUUUAGUGUAUAUAUACUAGUAACAAG